GUAUAACGGGCUAAAAGAUAGGAUGUAGGCUUUUUGGACGCGGGUUCGAGCCCCGCCGCCUCCACCA
rnacentral:tRNA from 1 species